rnacentral:antisense_RNA from 1 species
UUUCACCUACACUCUCUCCAAUCCUUCCAAGAAACUCACAAAGCAGGGCUUUUUCUUGAACUUCUCUUCCUCACAACAGUUAAAUCAUCCAUUUAAAGAUGUCAGACAAGCUCUGUGUUCUAAGAACUGUUUACUGAGCUCUAUGGAGACAUAGCUACAAGCACCACAUGCUGGACCCCUGAAUAUGGAGGGCCAACUACACUAGAAACACACAUGCUAGCUGGGAAAGAUGCUGGCUUAAGGAGAUCACCAGUUUGUAGUAGAGGCCCACUCUAGGAAGGUUUGGUAAAAAGCUGUUUUGAAUCAUAAUGUUGGCUUUAUUGGCAUGUUGAAACCAUUUACCUCUGUAAUUUUCCAUUUGUUUUCCUUUCCAACUACCACUCCUCCUGCCUGAUAAAUAAAUACCAUUGCAAGAUUA